GCCUGGGUGGCUCAGUCGGUUGAGCGUCCGACUUCGGCUCAGGUCGUGAUCUCGCAGUAUGUGGGUUCGAGCCCCGCAUCAGGCU
rfam:Felis catus isolate Cinnamon breed Abyssinian chromosome X, whole genome shotgun sequence.